AGGAAAAUGCCCCAUGUGUCUCCCGGAAGCUAUGGAAACAUGGCAGCCUGGAGCCAUCUCUCAUGAAGGGAUUGUGUUAGACACGGCUCUGUGGAGAUACCACAGAGAGGGCUGCCUUCUGUCCUCUCCACCUCAAGAGCUGGGGACCGAACCCAGGGCCUUGCGCUUCCUAGGUCCUUCCACAUUGUGGCAACUGGCAGAAACUUCUUUUCUAGGCUGAGAAACAUUCCACUGCAUACACUGAUUACUGCUUCUUUUUUGUCCCUUAACAUUGGCAGACGGGUUGUUUCUAUACACCAGCUGUGCGAAGACUUGGCUUGUGACCCUUGAAGAGAAGGAGAAAAGAUUUCCACGUCAAGGAAAAUCGUGAAAUGUCUCUCGGUGGCCGGUUCUCAGGACCUGUGGUUUUAGGGCUGACAACACCAAUCUUUUCAAAGUGCACCAUAGACACUAUCAAGAGACUUACAGCCUGCUGGGUAUUGUCAGUGACCUACUGUCGGAACACGUGCAAAAAUGGAGCCGCGUGAGGAGAAUUCUGAGUGCUUGUGAGAAAACUCCAAGAAAGCAAGAGCCUCGUGACCUCCGUUUCUCCAAAACAAGUAAUUGUCCUUGGAAUGUGUUUGCAUGCAUCUCCAGGAAGCAGCAGAUAAGAGCGCGUUAACUUCAGAUCACUCAUCCCACCUGCACACGCUGCUCUCCCUCCAGGGUGUGCGCUUUGCUCAUGUGACGUUUCCCGAUGCUCUGAAGGAAGCUGGCGAUUGCACGUGACUGUAGUCCUCCUAGUGCAUCAGUUCUACUCUCCAGGUCCCACUGCCAACUAGAGCGGCAAACCGUCUACCGAUUAUUUAAAUAUAAAGAGGGGUGUGCUUGUGAAGUGUACAGACAGCAUGCAACUUUGAACAUACACGGACUUUAGUAUCUGCAGGAGUGUGCCGGUAGACAUCAUAGAUUCUCGCCCACCCC
rnacentral:lncRNA from 1 species